UCUUGUCUGUUUCGGUGUGAUGUUGGUCUUCGUAAAACCCUCGUGUGACAGGGUUUUUAACUCGUCUGUUUGAGAGCUCGAGAUGCGCAUCGGUUGGCUUCGCGCCGUAUAAUCCCAAUCGGAGCAGAUUUACCACAUCCCCAGUUCAUUUCGUGUGCUUCUACACUGAAUUACUGUGCAGAGUCAUAACCUGUAGGGAGGAACUACUGUCCUUCAGUGCAAAUUGUCAGUUCCGUGGCGAAGAUUUUUAACACUGCAUGAAACUGUCUGCAUACUCAGAAGUCAGAACUAAAUGAUAAGUCGAUCUCAAGAAGAUGCGAAUGACAUCGGUAGCCAUCCCGUCUCGGGCUGAAGGUGUUCUGUGGUUAUUUUUCUGACUACGUGCUGAAUGCUGGUUCAGAUUGAAGAAGUAAAAUGGGUUUUGGUCUUUUUGCUUCAAAGAUGGAAUGCAGUUGAGGUUUCUGUGUUUCUGCGGCACGGCUUGGCUUGCCUGAUGUUGGCCUCAUCUCCUAUGGAGACAUGGUAGACCAAGGGCGUCUAAUCAAUGAAGCUGUGUCGAUCCCAGUGAUUGGUGAUGGAGAUAAUGGUUACGGAAACUCUAUGAACAUCAAGAGAACCAUCAAA